AUAGUGUAUAUUAAAGUUGCUGCAGUUAAAAAGCUCGUAGUUGGAUUUUGAAUUAUAAAAAUUUAACAUUCAUCUUUUAGAUGUGAUUUAAUUUUUAUAUUCUUCCUUUUGAUACGCUCCAUCAAAUUAUAUUUUUUGGAUUUAAGUGUUUCAAAUUGUUUACUGUGAAAAAAUUAGAGUGUUCAAAGCAGGCGUAACCUAGCCUUUGAAUAUAUUAGCAUGGGAUAAUGAAAUAGGACUUUAAUCCUACUUUCGUUGGUUUCUAGGGCUAAAGUAAUGAUUAAUAGGGAUAGUUGGGGUCACUAGUAUUUAAUUGUCAGAGGUGAAAUUCUAAGAUUUAUUAAAGACUAACUACUG
rnacentral:rRNA from 1 species